CCAGGGCCCGCGCCCGCGCGCGGGUCAGCAGGCUCUGGUAGCGAAAGGGCGACGUGAUGGCGGGAGGUAGCGGUCCAGGGCGAUAACACACAGGGUCUCGAUGCUGGCCGUCACGCACAGCACGUCCACGGAGGUCCAGAGCUCGCAGAAGAAGGAGCCAUACUCCCAGCGGCCCCACACCACGAUGGUGGCCCCGAACGGCACCACCAGCAGCCCCAUGACCAGGACAGAGAGCAAGCACGAUGACCUCUCAAAACUCAUACUAAAGAUGGCUCUGCAAAUAAAUGGUACCCAGACCCCAGUGAGAACAGUCAAGUUUGUCGCAGAGUUGCAGUCUGUCACAAAGUCGUGAGUGCCACAGGUUGAUUGUGAUCUAGUUCCCAAGUUUUCUGAGCCCUUGGUUUCCUGCUCUGCCUCCUACAAAUUCUCACUACAUACAGAAGACUGGUCAAGACUGGUGUGUCCCUGAACGUGUGAGGCUGACCUGAGGACUGCGGAGAACCCCAGGAUGUGUUUCGGCCCGUCAUUCCAGCCACAUUCUGCUUUACCUCUGGGAAUUCGAGCUGGACUCCCAGGAUAAGCCUAGAGAAGAGACACAGGCUGGGAGACCACACUGCUCAGAACAUCCUUGUGGGCUCUGGAGUCCCAGAAGCCAAGGAAAAGUCUUGGGGGGACUGCCCUGUGUUCACUCCGGCUCUGACUCUGACUCUGGCUCUGGCCAGGGGUUGGUGGCCAGAGCUGGGGAUAUACAUUUAUAGGGUGGGUGAUGGCUGGAGAAAGGGUGAGGGAGGACCUGGGGCCCAGAGGGAGGAGAAAAUUUCAAUGAGUGGGAAAUCGAAUGUGCCUCAUGUAGCGAAGGCUUAAAAGAGAAUUUGGAGGAGGCUUGGGUGUGAGAAGAGGCUAUUUGGCUUGGGGGUCAUUGGUGUCUGGUCAAAGAGGAGUUUCAGUUCAUGGCAUAGAUAAGAGACCAGGCCUGCGAUUGUCCAAUGUGGUGGCCACACAUGACUGUCAAGUGCUUGAAAUGUGGCAAGCUCGAGUUGAGAUGGGCUUCAAGGGCAAAAAGCACACUGAACUAUGAAGAUUUAGAAAAGUUAGGGGUAAAAAAUGAAUGCAAUAUGUCUUAAUUUUUACAUUGAUCACAUGUCAAAAUGAUCUGUUCAUUUCAAAUAUAGGUGAAGUUUGGUUAUAUUAAGUUAAAUAAAAUAUGAUAUUAAAAGUAGUUUCAACUAUUUUUUUGGUUUUUUACUUUGUCAAUAUGAUUGCCAGAUACUUUCAAAUUACACAUGUGGUUCAUGUUAUAUUUCUUUUUUUC
rnacentral:lncRNA from 1 species